GUCUGGCAGAUCAAAGAUGCUUUGGAAUCAUUGAGCACCAUUCCGCCCCCACCUGACUCUCAGCUCCUUUAUCUGUCUGGGCCCGGCGCUGGGCGGGGCUGGGUGGCUGGGCCAGGCGGCCG